GAUGAACGCUGGCGGCGUGCCUAAUACAUGCAAGUCGAGCGAACGGACGAUAAGCUUGCUUCUCUGAUGUUAGCGGCGGACGGGUGAGUAACACGUGGAUAACCUACCUAUAAGAGUGGUAUAACUUCGGGAAACCGGAGCUAAUACCGGAUGAGAUUUUGAACCGCAGUGGUGAAAGGUGAAAGACGGUCUUGCUGUCACGUAUAGAUGGAUCGGGGCUGGAUGAGGUAGUUGGUAAGGUAACGGGUGACCAAGGCAACGAGGCAUAGGCGAUGUGAGAGGGUGAUCGGCCACCUUGGAACUGAGACACGGUCCAGACGACUGCGGGAGGCAGCAGUAGGGAAUGUUCCGCAGAGGGCGAAAGCCUGACGGAGCAACCCCGAGUGAGUUAUGACGGUCUUCGGAGCGUAAAACUCUGUUAUUAGGGAAGAACAUAUGUGUAAGUAACUGUGCACAUCUUGACGGUAACUAAUCAGAAAGCCACGGCUAACUACGUG
rnacentral:rRNA from 1 species